CAGUCGCCGCGGUAAAACGGAGGGGGCUAGCGUUGUUCGGAAUUACUGGGCGUAAAGCGCACGUAGGCGGCUUUGUAAGUUAGAGGUGAAAGCCUGGGGCUCAACUCCAGAAUUGCCUUUAAGACUGCAUCGCUUGAACGUCGGAGAGGUGUGUGGAAUUCCGAGUGUAGAGGUGAAAUUCGUAGAUAUUCGGAAGAACACCAGUGGCGAAGGCGGCUUACUGGCUCAUUCUAGACGCUGAGGUGCGAAAGCGUGGGGAGCAAACAGGAUUAGAUACCCGGGUAGUCCCUGUCUCUUAUAC
rnacentral:rRNA from 1 species